ensembl:lncRNA
CAGGAAUACAGCAAAGAAUGGCACGACUUGGUUGUGUUGUCAGAACAUACUCUGUUCGGUGUCCUCUUUCCCUCAUACAUGUGGACACCAACCACACGUUGAUCAGAUCAUGUACACAGUGCAGCAACCAACAACAAAGCAUCAACUGCCAUUGGUUUCUUCCUGGAGUCUGUAGAGAAACUUGGCUUUCCAUUAAGCAUCUAAGGUGAGGACAGACUAAGGAGUGGAGAAUGUGGACAUCCCAAGAUGCACGUUUCAUGUCUGUGGUUGUGGCAAGGGGAAGCUUUAUCUCGGGUAAAAACAUUCACAAUCAACAUUAAUUUCCAUCACUAUUUGUAUGUGCUGAAUACAUAGAUUAUGACCACUUUAUUGAAAUUUCACUAAGACUAUACUUAGACAAGUGGCCUACACCUAAAUUAUAAUCCCUACACGGAGUAGAGAAGACAAGCUGUGCUGUUUCAUGCAUAACUGGUAUUUAAAUGCUUUGCAAAGGAGUGCUCUAUAGACAACGUUUCCAUUCAGUUUUUAUGCAAGUACUGUAUAAAAAAAUUAUGACAGCUGUGAUGGAAACAGACAGUUUCGGUACAACUUGAUAAAUGCCGACAGAUCAUUUGUUUGGACAUGGUGCGGUCUUGCCGGUAAAAUUCAUUGUGUGAGAAAUGGCUGUGGAAAUGCCUUUGUGUCAAUAUUGAUAUAAUAACCAUCAUAUCGAAGUAAACUUGGAGUCACGUGAUGAUAGUGUUGUGUGGUUCUCCCACUAUGCCUCUGGAAACCAUGCAGUUUAUU